rnacentral:rRNA from 1 species
AAUGAACGUUGGCGGCGUGGAUUAGGCAUGCAAGUCGAGCGAAAAGUCUCCCUUCGGGGAGAUGGACAGCGGCAAACGGGGUAGUAAUGCGUAGGUAACGUACCCUAAGGACCGGGAUAGCCGUGGGAAACCGCGGGUAAUACCGGAUGAUCUCCCUUCUCGGGAACGAGAGAGGAGCAAAUGGUCGUGAUUCCGCCUUUGGAGCGGCUUACGUGGUAUUAGGUAGUUGGUGAGGUAAUGGCCCACCAAGCCUGAGAUGCCUAGGGGUGUGAGAGCAUGG